CAACUACUCCCUCUGUCCAAAAUUUCUUGUCUUAGAUUUUUCUAGAUACAGAUGUAUCUAAUACUAAAAUGUGACUUGAUACAUCCGUAUCUAGACAAAUCUAAGACAAGAAUUUUGGGACGGAGGGAGUACUUU
rnacentral:pre_miRNA from 1 species